GGACAGAGUGCCUAAAGCUGUCCUGCAAACUAAGGAGAAGUCUGGUUCCUGGAGCAGCUCUGACUUGCCUAUGCCCAAAUUCCUUGUUCUAUAAAAAGCCCUUAUUUGGAGGCAGUAAUAAGGCAUUUGCUGCAGUUCCACAAAAAUAGAAAAUUAUUUACUGACCACUCUCAGGUAAACGAGAAAUGAAGUGAGAAAUUCUACCCAGGAAGAUACUUCGGAUUUCUGAAGGUCUGAUGUGGGAGCUUUUGUCCAUCUGUGCCUGGCUAAUGGCUGCACGAUUCGUUGAAAUGAAGAGACAGCACAGUAGUAUUCUUCUUCAUCACAAAUCCUUGUUGCAGAGAACAAGAAAAAUAUUAAUUGAUGCAGAU